rnacentral:rRNA from 1 species
GAUGAACGCUGGCGGCGUGCCUAAUACAUGCAAGUCGAGCGAACAGACGAGGAGCUUGCUCCUCUGAUGUUAGCGUCGGACGGGUGAGUAACACGUGGAUAACCUACCUAUAAGACUGGGAUAACUUCGUGAAACCGGAGCUAAUUCCGGCUAACAUUUUGAACCGCAUGGUUCAACAGUUUAAGACGGUCUUGCUUUCACUUAUCGAUGGUUCCGCGCCGCAUUAGCUAGUUGGUAAGGUAACGGCUUACCAAGGCAACGAUGCGUAGCCGACCUGAGAGGAUGAUCGGCCACACUGGAACUGAGACACGGUCCAGACUCCUACGGGAGGCAGCAGUAGGGAAUAUUGCGCAAUGGGCGAAAGCCUGACGGAGCAACGCCGCGUGAGUGAAGAAGGUCUUCGGAUCGUAAAACACUGUUAUUAGGGAAGAACAAAGGUGAAAGUAAAUAUGCACGUAUUGACGGUACCUAAUCAGAAAGCAACGGCUAACUACGUG